rnacentral:lncRNA from 1 species
AAGGAAACUAAGAAAAGUUUUAUCUGGGAAUACAUAACAUGUUAGCAUGAAUCAUGUAUGCAAAUGUGGACUGUCAUAAACCAUUUAAGUAUAAAUUUAGGGGUUUUUGCAUGGAUACCCUUCUAAAUAUAGGAUUUUGCGUGAAUACCCUUCCAAAAUUGAUAUUUGCAUGUAUACCUUCAUAAAAUAUUUAUUUUGCUAUUCUACCCUUUUUUAUUCUUAUUUUUGCAUAUGUACCCAUGCCAUCGAACGCCGUUAAAAAAUUAAUAGUUUUAAAUUAAAAUAACUAAAAUAUUCUUAAUGGAUAAGCGCGUAAAUAUAAAUUUUUAUAAGGAUAUACAAGUAAAUAGAAACUUUACCACGCUUUUGAAUAAAAAUUUAGACAAAUCUAAUUAGUUAUAUCAUAAUUAUGAGGUGCCGGGCGACCCAUGGCCUACUAACUAAGUUCGGUCAGAAUAGGUGACCCAUGACCUACUAAGUCCGUCUACAAGCCAAAUUUCAUAUCACACUAUUUUUUGUGGAGAUGAUUGAUUGGACGGAACUUGGUGUCUCGCUGCUUCCCUCUAAGAAGGACAUAAAAAAUCCCAGACCUUCUUCCAAAAUCCAAUUCCAUUGCAGAAAACUGUCAUAUGACCCAUAUUUAAUUGAGUGUUCCCUCACUUUCUCCCUUCAAAAGUUAAAAGAAACAAAAACCAAAAAACAGAAGGAAGAAAAAGAAAAAGCCAGCUACCGAGACACCAGAGGUAUCACAGUGUAAUAGAUCGAGAGAGAAUCCUGACGUGCUGAGGUUCCUUUGGAUUCUGUGAACCUAUGCUUGUUGCUAUCCUUCCACACUUGAACCCUACUCCCCCUAGGGCUUUUCCUCCUCAUUGGCUGGCAUU